GAUGAACGCUGGCGGCGUGCCUAAUACAUGCAAGUCGAACGCAUAGCGAAAGGUGCUUGCACCUUUCAAGUGAGUGGCGAACGGGUGAGUAACACGUGGACAACCUGCCUCAAGGCUGGGGAUAACAUUUGGAAACAGCUGCUAAUACCGAAUAAAACUUAGUGUCGCAUGACACAAAGUUAAAAGGCGCUUCGGCGUCACCUAGCGAUGGAUCCGCGGUGCAUUAGUUAGUUGGUGGGGUAAAGGCCUACCAAGACAAUGAUGCAUAGCCGAGUUGAGAGACUGAUCGGCCACAUUGGGACUGAGACACGGCCCAAACUCCUACGGGAGGCUGCAGUAGGGAAUCUUCCACAAUGGGCGAAAGCCUGAUGGAGCAACGCCGCGUGUGUGAUGAAGGCUUUCGGGUCGUAAAGCACUGUUGUAUGGGAAGAACAGCUAGAAUAGGAAAUGAUUUUAGUUUGACGGUACCAUACCAGAAAGGGACGGCUAAAUACGUG
rnacentral:rRNA from 1 species